rnacentral:lncRNA from 1 species
UGAAAAAAUACGUACCACACAUGCUUUAAUUCAACCGUAUGCAAAAAAAUUUCAAUGCCUCUUCCUUUUCUUUUAUUUACACAGCAAUAAAGUUUACAACUCCAGUAUUUUGUUUGAAAGCAACUGUGGAAAUCUGUUCUAGGAUUAACCGAGACCUUAUGAUGUGUAAGAUAAACUUAUAUUGUCCCAUUAUACAUAAUCUUUGACAGAGCUUUUGCUUAAGGGAAGUGUUGUUUAGUCCUUAACUUUUAAUUGCUGUCCUUAUUACCCUUCAAAGCAAGCACUGAUUUUAAGCUGUGGCAAAUAUUGGCUUUACAGGAAAUGCACAAGUCUCAAUCUAUAGUUGCAUUUUACUGUAAGCACUACCUGUGGAG